rnacentral:rRNA from 1 species
AACGAACGCUGGCGGCAUGCCUAACACAUGCAAGUCGAACGAGACCUUCGGGUCUAGUGGCGCACGGGUGCGUAACGCGUGGGAACCUGCCCUUAGGUUCGGAAUAACUCCCCGAAAGGGGUGCUAAUACCGGAUAAUGUCUUCGGACCAAAGAUUUAUCGCCUUUGGAUGGGCCCGCGUUGGAUUAGCUAGUUGGUAGGGUAAAAGCCUACCAAGGCGACGAUCCAUAGCUGGUCUGAGAGGAUGAUCAGCCACACUGGGACUGAGACACGGCCCAGACUCCUACGGGAGGGAGCAGUGGGGAAUAUUGGACAAUGGGCGAAAGCCUGAUCCAGCAAUGCCGCGUGAGUGAUGAAGGCCUUAGGGUUGUAAAGCUCUUUUACCCGGGAUGAUAAUGACAGUAACGGGAGAAGAAGCUCCGGCUAACUCCGUG